UUUGCAUGGUUUUAUUCUGUUUCUAUUGCAUGGUUUUUAGUGUUUUACAUGACAUGGUUUUAAUCCACUGUGGACUGGCUACACAUGGGACAAAUUAGCUGAUGGGGACCACCUGCUGAGGCAUGGGUGUGUCCAGAGGUGGCCUAUCAGCUGUGUAAAGACCUUUUAAAAGCAGGGCUAGCAGAGCACUGAAGAAAGGAGGCCCAGAGUGGAAGAGGAAUGCUAGAUGGCCAGCGUGACACGACGGCCCAGUUGGACAGUGUGAAGGGCGACAGUGGGAGACGCUGCCUGUUAUCGGCCGCCGGGCAGAGGUGUACCUGUGCCGGCAUAUGUUGCUGACACGAGGGGAUCCAUGGUGGCAUUGCGUGGAGGAUUCCAGUGUGAAAUGGAAGCCGGGCUGGGAUGUGGGCGGCCCAGUGAGAGGACAAGAGGGGAAUAGGAGGCUCCUCCCCGUCGGCCUAAUACAGGGCUAGCAUGGAACCAACUCAUGCAAAGGAGUUUCUGGCCCGCUGGUGGACCCAUAGUGCAUCCAUGGUUGUGGGACAUGACAUCAGGGAAUUUUAGUAAAUGUAGAAAAUUGUAUUUUUACUAGUUUUAGCGGUCAAUAACAUUUUUCCCAUGUAUGUUUUCAAGGGUGUUUUUAUUUGUGAUCCCUGGCCUAGAAAUAAACUGUUUCUGAUGAGACCUGCUUCAU